AAAGAGUUCCCGAAGUUAUGUCUAGAUAGCAGGAAGGGUUUCCAUAGAUACUGGAGUGCUUAAAAUAAUGGGGAAAGCCAAGGCAGGUCUUGCUGCUUGCAAGGGUGAUGAACUGAACAUGAUAAUCGCUUUGUGCAGCCAGCAUACCAGGUUCUUAUAUUCUGCUCAUGAGCUGAGGUAGAUUGGUCAUACCAGGUUCUUAUAUUCUGCUAAUGAGCUGAGGCAGAUGGGUUAAAUUUUUGGAGUGUGAAGUCUGGUUCAGUUAAUAUCAACUAAACCUGAAAUCCUUUACCUGUAUCUGUAAUUUAUUAUCCAAAGCAAUACAAGCCGUCUCCCGGGUAUACCGGAUGAAGAAAAGCACUGUUGAGUUGUAAAGUUUUCAAUUUGUAUGGCAUGUAUUCAGCUUUUGUCAAGUAGGAAAGACCAGUAAAUGUAUGCUUAUUUUGUUUCUAAGUUGCCAGAAAUGGAUGAUGCUUUACUCUUGCUGUAAAACGAUUGGUCAUCAAGCUGUUGAGCGUUUAAACAUUGAAUGAAACUUUUAUUCAUGAUUUACAAUUGCUUGU
rnacentral:lncRNA from 1 species